GUAGGGGGCAAGCGUUGUCCGGAUUUAUUGGGCGUAAAGAGCGUGUAGGCGGCCAGGGAGGUCCGUUGUGAAAACUCGAGGCUCAACCUCGAGACGCCGAUGGAAACCCCCUGGCUAGAGUCCGGAAGAGGAGAAUGGAAUUCCUGGUGUAGCGGUGAAAUGCGCAGAUAUCAGGAAGAACACCCGUGGCUAAGGCGGUUCUCUAGUACGGUACUGACGCUGAGACGCGAAAGCGUGGGGAGCGAACAGGAUUAGAUACCCUGGUAGUCCACGCCGUAAACGAUGGGCGCUAGGUGUGGGGGGUGUCAACUCCCUCCGUGCCGAAGCUAACGCAUUAAGCACCCCGCCUGGGGAGUACGGCCGCAAGGCUA
rnacentral:rRNA from 1 species